rnacentral:rRNA from 1 species
GUUGUAUGGUUAAGUGACUAAGCGUACACGGUGGAUGCCUUGGCAGUCAGAGGCGAUGAAAGACGUAGUAACUUGCGAUAAGCCCAGAUUAGGUAGUAACAACCAUUUGAGUCUGGGAUUUCUGAAUGGGGAAACCCACGUGCAUAAGCACGUAUCCUUACCUGAAUACAUAGGGUAAGGAGGCGAACCGGGGGAACUGAAACAUCUAAGUACCCCGAGGAAAAGAAAUCAACCGAGAUUCCGAAAGUAGCGGCGAGCGAAAUUGGACUAGCCCUUAAGCUUUACACGCGUUAGACGAACGGUCUGGAAAGUCCGACGAUACAGGGUGAUAGUCCCGUAGUUGACGACGUGUGUUCAGUGAAAUCGAGUAGGGCGGGACACGUGAUAUCCUGUCUGAAUAUGGGGGGACCAUCCUCCAAGGCUAAAUACUACUGACUGACCGAUAGUGAACCAGUACCGUGAGGGAAAGGCGAAAAGAACCCCUGUGAGGGGAGUGAAAUAGAACCUGAAACCGUGUACGUACAAGCAGUAGGAGCAGGCUUUGUCCUGUGACUGCGUACCUUUUGUAUAAUGGGUCAGCGACUUAUAUUCAGUGGCAAGGUUAACCAUCUAGGGGAGCCGUAGGGAAACCGAGUCUUAACUGGGCGUUCAGUCUCUGGAUAUAGACCCGAAACCAGGUGAUCUAGCCAUGGGCAGGUUGAAGGUUGAGUAACAU